rnacentral:rRNA from 1 species
ACGUGAUCUGAGUUCAGACCGGAGUAAUCCAGGUCGGUUUCUAUCUAUAACAGAGCUUAUUCUAGUACGAAAGGACCGAAAAAGCAUGGCCUAUACCCCAAGCAAGCCAUCAUUAGAAAUUUUUGCUUACAACUUAACUUACUACUAACCUACAACCUCCCUCAAGACAAGAGA